rnacentral:rRNA from 1 species
GACGAACGCUGGCGGCGUGCUUAACACAUGCAAGUCGAGCGAUGAAGCACCUUCGGGUGUGAAUUAGCGGCGAACGGGUGAGGAACACGUGAGAAAUCUGCCUUCAACUCUGGGAUAACUCCGUGAAAACGGGGCUAAUACCGGAUCUGAAACCUGCGGGCAUACGCGGGUUUGGAAAGUGUUUCGGGUGAAGAUGAUGUAGUGGCCUAUCAGAUAGUUGGUGAGGUAAUGGCGCACCAAGGCGACGACGGGUAGCUGGUUUGAGAGAACGAUCAGCCACACUGGGACUGAGACACGGCCCAGACUCCUACGGGAGGCAGCAGUGGGGAAUCUUGCGCAAUGGGCGAAAGCCUGACGCAGCAACGCCGCGUGCGGGAUGACGGCCUUCGGGUUGUAAACCGCUUUCAGCAGGGACGAAGAUGACGGUACCUGCAGAAGAAGCCCCGGCUAACUACGUGCCAGCAGCCGCCGUAA